rnacentral:rRNA from 1 species
UAGCGGAGGAAAAGAAACCAACAGGGAUUGCCUUAGUAGCGGCGAGUGAAGCGGCAAAAGCUCAAAUUUGAAAUCUGGCUCUUUCAGAGUCCGAGUUGUAAUUUGAAGAAGGUAUCUUUGGGUCUGGCUCUUGUCUAUGUUUCUUGGAACAGAACGUCACAGAGGGUGAGAAUCCCGUGCGAUGAGAUGAUCCAGGCCUAUGUAAAGUUCCUUCGAAGAGUCGAGUUGUUUGGGAAUGCAGCUCUAAGUGGGUGGUAAAUUCCAUCUAAAGCUAAAUAUUGGCGAGAGACCGAUAGCGAACAAGUACAGUGAUGGAAAGAUGAAAAGAACUUUGAAAAGAGAGUGAAAAAGUACGUGAAAUUGUUGAAAGGGAAGGGCUUGAGAUCAGACUUGGUAUUUUGUAUGUUACUUCUUCGGGGGUGGCCUCUACAGUUUAUCGGGCCAGCAUCAGUUUGGGCGGUAGGAGAAUUGCGUUGGAAUGUGGCACGGCUUCGGUUGUGUGUUAUAGCCUUCGUCGAUACUGCCAGCCUAGACUGAGGACUGCGGUUUAUACCUAGGAUGUUGGCAUAAUGAUCUU